rnacentral:rRNA from 1 species
UGCCAGACUCCUACGGGAGGCAGCAGUGAGGAAUAUUGGUCAAUGGGCGCGAGCCUGAACCAGCCAAGUCGCGUGAGGGAAGACGGUCCUAUGGAUUGUAAAACUCUUUUGUCAGGGAGCAAAGGGCGCCACGUGUGGCGUUUUGCGAGUACCUGAAGAAAAAGCAUCGGCUAACUCCGUGCCAGCAGCCGCGGUAAUACGGAGGAUGCGAGCGUUAUCCGGAUUUAUUGGGUUUAAAGGGUGCGUAGGCGGAUUUUUAAGUCAGCGGUAAAAUGUCCGGGCUCAACCCGGGCCGGCCGUUGAAACUGGGGAUCUUGAGUGGGCGAGAAGUAUGCGGAAUGCGUGGUGUAGCGGUGAAAUGCAUAGAUAUCACGCAGAACUCCGAUUGCGAAGGCAGCAUACCGGCGCCCGACUGACGCUGAGGCACGAAAGCGUGGGGAUCGAACAGGAUUAGAUACCCCGGUAAA